rnacentral:rRNA from 1 species
GACGAACGCUGGCGGCGUGCUUAACACAUGCAAGUCGAACGGAAAGGCCCUGCUUUUGUGGGGUGCUCGAGUGGCGAACGGGUGAGUAACACGUGAGUAACCUGCCCUUGACUUUGGGAUAACUUCAGGAAACUGGGGCUAAUACCGGAUAGGAGCUCCUGCUGCAUGGUGGGGGUUGGAAAGUUUCGGCGGUUGGGGAUGGACUCGCGGCUUAUCAGCUUGUUGGUGGGGUAGUGGCUUACCAAGGCUUUGACGGGUAGCCGGCCUGAGAGGGUGACCGGCCACAUUGGGACUGAGAUACGGCCCAGACCCCCACGGGGGGCAGGAGUGGGGAAUAUUGCACAAUGGGCGGAAGCCUGAUGCAGCAACGCCGCGUGCGGGAUGACGGCCUUCGGGUUGUAAACCGCUUUCGCCUGUGACGAAGCGUGAGUGACGGUAAUGGGUAAAGAAGCACCGGCUAACUACGU